AAACCAAACAAAAAAAAAACGUUAAACAGUAAAUACAAAUUUGGACAGAAACUACGAUUGUGGGAAAGAAUUGGCGUGGGAACAGAUGAAUGGUUAGGUUGGGUUGGCUAAGGCGUUCGUGAUUUAGCUUAAACUAACAUUUUGCCUUAGAAUGAUAGUCCGCUGGUAG